rnacentral:rRNA from 1 species
GACGAACGCUGGCGGCGUGCUUAACACAUGCAAGUCGAACGGAAAGGCCUCUUUCGGGGGGUACUCGAGUGGCGAACGGGUGAGUAACACGUGAGUAACCUGCCCUUGACUUUGGGAUAACUUCAGGAAACUGGGGCUAAUACCGGAUAGGAGCUCCUGCUGCAUGGUGGGGGUUGGAAAGUUUCGGCGGUUGGGGCUGGACUCGCGGCUUAUCAGCUUGUUGGUGGGGUAGUGGCUUACCAAGGCUUUGACGGGUAGCCGGCCUGAGAGGGUGACCGGCCACAUUGGGACUGAGAUACGGCCCAGACUCCCACGGGAGGCAGCAGUGGGGAAUAUUGCACAAUGGGUGGAAGCCUGAUGCAGCAACGCCGUGUGCGGGAUGACGGCCUUCGGGUUGUAAACCGCUUUCGCUCAUGACGAAGCUUUGUGUGACGGUAGUGGGUAAAGAAGCACCGGCUAACUACGUG